CCCUUAGAUGUCCUGGACCGCACGCGCGCUACACUGAUGCAUUCAACGAGUUUUACCUUGGCCGAGAGGCCUGGGCAAUCUUUUAAACCUGCAUCGUGAUAGGGAUAGAUUAUUGCAAUUAUUAAUCUUGAACGAGGAAUUCCUAGUAAACGCAGAUCAUCAAUCUGCAUUGAUUACGUCCCUGCCCUUUGUACACACCGCCCGUCGCACCUACCGAUUGAAUGGUCCGGUGAAGCCUCGGGAUUGUGGCCAGUUCACUUUAUUGGGAGUUGGCUGCGAGAACUUGUCUAAACCUUAUCAUUUAGAGGAAGGUGAAGUCGUAACA
rnacentral:rRNA from 1 species